UGUCGCGGUCGUCUUCCGGGAGGACGUCCGACUCUCGAUCGGAACAGUGGGGUUCGACUCCCCACCGCGACGG
rnacentral:tRNA from 1 species